UCCUUGUCGUGUGGCCUCAGUCCUUCGCCGUCCCUCGCCGUCCUUCGCCAUCGCACGCCACCGCACCCCAUCUCUCGAAAUCUGCAGACAUCUUGAUUUUUCCCACGCUGUCUGUCAGGUCUCCGCCGCCACUCGACGCCAGGGCGCCGGGCCUUGUGGGCUGUGCUGCACCUCGGACGGCUUCGCACCAGCCAGCGCCCUCUCUCUCCUGCAGCACUCUGAUCUGCACCCCCUGAGGGGCUUCCACUGUCCGCGGGGUGAGAAUGCCCCUGGGAGUGUCACAUGACUGCCGCCCCAUGUGUGUGAGAGGCGUCCUCUGGGAGAGCAUGGAUCCUGAGGUCCCAGGAUUGUCAGCUGACCUCUGUCCUGUGUGCCCAGUGGCCCCAGGUGACGUGUCUUCAAGAAGAGGCUGAGCUGCGGUGCUUGUAAGAGUCAUGUGCUGUUCCUGGGGCUUGGAUGAUGUAGGGGAAGCAAGGUGAAAGUGGUAUCCCGUGGUUCCACGUUCUGUCCUGCUGUGGGGCUGUCCCUCACAUGCUUUCAGUGGCUGUUGCAGAGGAAGAGCCUCCGGAAAUCUGCGUGGGUAAAGUGAGCUCCCCGGGGGAACCGUCCUCCUCCCUUGAGCGCUGGUGUGUCCAUAGUGUGCUGUGAUCUGGAUUAGCAGUGAGUUUUUCUUUCAGGGUGUGUGUGUAUGAUGUUAGGACCAUAUGCUCCUGACCUUUUCCAACCCAAAAGCGUUUCCAUUUUUUUAAUGCUGGAAGUGUCUUAACUCCUUUUGGGGUCUUAGAAGGACACACGGUGGCCGUGGCUGGGCCUCUGCUCAGCUGGGCUGCUCUCCCUGCCUCAGGCCCUUGACACCAGCCUCCCUCCCUUGCUGGCUCUCUUUCUGUCCUUCCCUGCUCUUGUAUCCAAAAGUGAUCAUGGGUUGCCUGUGUCCCGAUCAUUAACAGUGCAGGGGUAGGAGUGCUGAAAGACAUCUUCCCUGCGUUGGUCCAGCCUUCCCUUUCAAACCCUGGAGCUUUCCCACGCUGCAGCCUUUUUCCAACUAGGCUUUCAGAGCUUGGGCCUUUGUGGGCCCAUGUGAUGUGGUGACUAGACCCACCCCCUGACUUCUGAGGGUUCAUUUUGUCUUUUCAUGUUAGGGAUCCUCCUGCCAGAAACCAGUCUGCAUUUCUCUCUGGGCCCCACGCUGGAAUGAAUUCAGAUAGCAGUGAAGGGCACACGUGAGAACUGCGAAUCACGGGCUUUGCUUCAUGAAAUGUGAAAUCCACAUUGUUUCCACAGGCACCAUCAGUAAUGUCGAACAAAUGGAGAAAGUUGCAGGUGGGGCUAGGAAAGCUGUAUUCCUGUGGAUUACUCUAGCUGGUCAUUUGCCCCGAUUGUGAACUGCUUGAAAGAAAAACGAAACUUCUAAGAUGUUUGUCCUUUCAUGUCCUUUCUGUUGGGAUUUUUUAUUUGGUGUGCGUGAAUGAGGAGCUUCGCCCUGCUUGAAUGGGACCCCUCUCAGUGGUGUCAGCUUGGGGAGGAGGAGAUGGCCCUGGAGACUAAAUACUUGUAUGCUUUCUUACCCUCUUAGGUCUCAGCCUUAGAUCCAAGGACAGUCCAAGGAAGUCCUAAGACCAUGGAGUUGGUGAUCUGGGAUCUGGGUUUGCUGAUAUUUCUCACCGUGAAUCUCUUGGUGGUGUUUGUGGGCACGAGAGGGGCAGAGAAUGGAGAGUGAGGCUACCACAUGAAGCGUCACCAGAGCUGCUCCCUGCUGCCUGCUCAGAGCACCCCGGAUCCACUGUUCAAUCUGCACAAGAUUCGGGGUCCAGACAUGGGAGACUUCAGCUGCCUCAGAGGACCGUGGACAGGGAAGGCCAGCCUCGCAUCCCUCUGUCCAUGCCUGGAAUGACUUUAAUAACCAAGAGUUUUAUUUUUGAAUUUGUAGCUGUCGUUCACUUUUUACCCACCCAUUCAAUAAACCUUACAGAAUUGCUCCA
rnacentral:lncRNA from 1 species